rnacentral:lncRNA from 1 species
AUGAAGCUUUGUUUCUCUGGAUAGAAUAUUAUUGGCUGAUAAUAGUUUUGUUUAAUAAAGGAGGCUAAAAAUAGGACCACAAACCCUUCACCACACCACACCUAUUCCAAAAUUUACCACAUAGUUGAAAGUAAAGCACUCCUCAGCCAACGUAAAAGAACAGAAAGUAUAACAAACUGUCUCUCAGACCACAGUGCAUAAGAUCUGAA